rnacentral:rRNA from 1 species
AGAGUUUGAUCCUGGCUCAGAACGAACGCUGGCGGCAGGCCUAACACAUGCAAGUCGAACGAGCUGAGACCUUCGGGUCUCGAUGCUAGUGGCGCACGGGUGAGUAACGCGUGGGAACCUACCCUAUAGUACGGAAUAACUGAGGGAAACUUCAGCUAAUACCGUAUACGUCCUCCGGGAGAAAGAUUUAUCGCUAUAGG